GGGGCUGCCCUGGUUUCGACGUGGGUUCGGAGUCGGCGUGGUGCAUGUCGAGCUUGAGUGGCGCUCGUAAAUCUGCAUUCAAA
rnacentral:tmRNA from 1 species